rnacentral:rRNA from 1 species
UUGGAGGGCAAGUCUGGUGCCAGCAGCCGCGGUAAUUCCAGCUCCAAUAGCGUAUAUUAAAGUUGUUGCAGUUAAAAAGCUCGUAGUUGAAUUUCGGGAUUUGUCAGUUGGUCGGGCUUCACUGUCCGUAUUGGCUUGAUGGAUUCUUACCUUCUGAAUAACCAGCAUGCUAUUAAGUUAGUGCGUUGGGGAAGCAGAUCUAUUACCUUGAAAAAAUUAGAGUGCUUAAAGCGAGCUAGUGCUUGAAUAGAUUAGCAUGGAAUAAUAAAAUAGGACGGCAUGGUUCUAUUUUGUUGGUUUCUAGGAUCACCGUAAUGAUUAAUAGGGAUAGUUGGGGGCAUUAGUAUUCAAUUGUCAGAGGUGAAAUUCUUGGAUUUAUUGAAGACUAACUUCUGCGAAAGCAUUUGCCAAGGAUGUUUUCAUUAAUCAAGAACGAAAGUUAGGGGAUCGAAGACGAUCAGAUACCGUCGUAGUCUUAACCAUAAACUAUGCCGACUAGGAAUCGGACGAUGUUAAUUUUAUAAUGACUCAUUCGGCGCCUUACGGGAAAC